rnacentral:rRNA from 1 species
UACAGAGGUCUCAAGCGUUGUUCGGAUUCAUUGGGCGUAAAGGGUGCGUAGGUGGCGCCAUAAGUCAGGUGUGAAAUCUCGGGGCUCAACCUCGAAACUGCACUUGAUACUGUGGUGCUUGAGUACUGGAGAGGAGAUUGGAAUUUACGGUGUAGCAGUGAAAUGCGUAGAUAUCGUAAGGAAGACCAGUGGCGAAGGCGAAUCUCUGGACAGUUACUGACACUGAGGCAC